rnacentral:rRNA from 1 species
UCCCUCCUACGGGGGGCAGCAGUGGGGAAUAUUGCACAAUGGGCGAAAGCCUGAUGCAGCAACGCCGCGUGAAGGAAGACGGUUUUCGGAUUGUAAACUUCUGUUCUUAGUGAAGAAUAAUGACGGUAACUAAGGAGCAGGCCACGGCUAACUACGUGCCAGCAGCCGCGGUAAUACGUAGGGGGCAAGCGUUACCCGGAUUUACUGGGUGUAAAGGGAGCGCAGGCGGCGCGGUAAGUCUGAUGUGAAAGCCCGGGGCUCAACCCCGGGACUGCAUUGGAAACUGUCGUGCUGGAGUGUCGGAG